rnacentral:tRNA from 1 species
GUAGCAGCAGCUCAGUGGUAGGGCCCCCGCUUUGGACGCAGGAAGACCUGGGUUUGGUUCCCGGCUGCUUUC